AGCAGCCGCGGUAAUUCCAGCUCCAAUAGCGUAUAUUAAAGUUGUUGCAGUUAAAAAGCUCGUAGUUGAACUUCGGGAUCAAUUGAUAUGGUCAUGCCUUGGUAUGUACUGUUCAUAUUGGUUCUCACCUUCUAAUGAACCAUAAUGUCAUUUAUUUGAUGUUAUGGGGAAUUAGGACUGUUACCUUGAAAAAAUUAGAGUGUUUAAAGCAGGCUCACGCUUGAAUACAUUAGCAUGGAAUAAUGAAAUAGGACAUCGCAUUCUAUUUUGUUGUUUCUAGGAUCGAUGUAAUGAUUAAUAGGGAUAGUUGGGGGCAUUAGUAUUCAAUUGUCAGAGGUGAAAUUCUUGGAUUUAUUGAAGACUAACUACUGACGAAAGCAUUUGCCAAAGGAUGUUUUCAUUAAUCAAGAACGAAAGUUAGGGGAUCGAAGACGAUCAAGAUACCGUCUAGUCUUAAACCAUAAACUAUGACCGUACUAGGGUAUACGGAUGAAUGUU
rnacentral:rRNA from 1 species